UUAAUUGAAGCCAAAAAGAGGCGUAUCACUGUUAAUGAUAAAAUUGAGUUUUAUCUUCCAAUUAAG
rnacentral:tRNA from 1 species